rnacentral:rRNA from 1 species
UACGGGGGGGGCAAGCGUUGUUCGGAAUUACUGGGCGUAAAGGGUUCGUAGGUGGCCAACUAAGUCAGACGUGAAAUCCCUCGGCUCAACCGGGGAACUGCGUCUGAUACUGGUUGGCUUGAGUGCAGGAGAGGAACGCGGAAUUCCAGGUGUAGCGGUGAAAUGCGUAGAUAUCUGGAGGAACACCGGUGGCGAAGGCGGCAUCCUGGACCAACACUGACACUGAGGAGCGAAAGCCAGGGGAGCAAACGGG